CUUCGCCCACCACGUGCCCAGUGUAUGCUCCCUCUCAUACACACACGCGCACAUCUUCGACUCCCCACACCCCUCAGUGCAUGGCAUCCGCUGCCCGCUCUGUGUGCACGAAAGCCAAGCAGCCUCCCCCUAUCCCCUGCCAAUGCCGAACCACCUCUGGUGGUGCCACGGCUAAGCGCCUGCGACGUCGGGGAGUCAAAGCGCUUCAUCGCUGUUGAUGUCGGCGGUGAUGUCCUGGAUGGCACCGUGCCGGAGCGACCUGCGACGGUGAGCACGCUUGUGCCAUCCAUGUGUCGGCGACGUGUCGGCGUCGCUCGAACGCGUAUCCCACCCCCGGCCCACGCACUGCCUUACUGGCGUGAGGGGCCUGAGUGCCACCCCGAGGGGGAUGUACACCAGGUGUGGUGACCGGCAUGAUGGGGGAGCCGCUGUGAGGCGACCUGCGGAGCCGAGUGUGGGUAGAGCUCGAGGCCGAGGCCGAGGCCGAGGCCGUGCUCAGGUGGCUGAGUGGACGCAGUGCUGUAAGGCGCGUGCCCCCAGGGCUGCUUGGCACGACGCGAUGGUGCCUGCGACGGUCCCGGGGCGGGGUGUUGGGGGCCGAGUGGCGCUUGACCUCGUGCUGUACGGCAGCGACAUGGGCACGUUGAACGAAACCGGAAAAGUGGGCCGCACACAUACAGGCAAAGCAUAGAAAGAAAGCUGCGCAUCAUUGCGAGGUGCUCAGCGUUGCGUUUGGUGUCUCUUGCGUUUCUGCCGCUGCUUCAUAUCUCUCUCUUUCUGUGUGCCUGCGCGGGUCCUUCCCCUCUUCCUUUUCUCCCGUUUUCGUUUGGGAGGGGGAGUGCAUUGCAGAAAAGGGAAUUAUCAAAGAGGCUGAGGGUGCCCUGUGGAAAACCGCCAAAAGCGACACAAUAUGCUGCUAUCGGUGUGUGAAGUAAAAAAGAACAAACAAGCAGCGCGCACCUUUCCUCUCCUUAUUUAUUUCACAUCGGAAACUGCCCCCUCCCUCUUUCCUCUCCGCUCUCGCUCACCUAUUCACGCACACGCCCACAUGUCUCCGUACGCGGUCGGCAUCGAAGACCGUAUUUCAAGGAAUGGAUCGCGUCGACUUGACUGUUACUCUUUCUCUCUUAUCUGUUAUGCGUGUGCCGGCGCGUCGCGUGAUUCUCUCCCUCGGAGCAUAUCUUUGCGUUUCUUGUGAGCCAUCGUAUUCCUCUUUCUGCGCUCGUUUCCCGUGCCAUGUGACUUUAUGUUGCUCCAGCAGCCUCUACACCCCUUUCUCGUUCCUUUCCUCUUGUGCAUCUCUUUUCACGGGUAUGACCGCACACACGCGCUUGCGCACGCACACGCAAUGAACGCUGAGUUGUCCCCUUUUUAUCAUUUUUUUCUCAGGCCCGUUGGACUCUCUGGAUUUCAUUUUGUGUUUUCUGCUUCGCCGUGCUGCGCUCUCCAUCUGUCUCCCGUCUUGCACCCGCUCGUGUAUGGAAACCCUCUUCCUCCAACGCACGCGCACACACCGAUGCGUGCUUCUCUUGGUUGCGCUCCCUUAGGGAGCGUUCGCGUAUGACACAUGAGUGCGUGUGUGUGUGUGCUGGCUUGUGCAAUGGCUUGCAUACGCACCCCCUAACUUCGCCAUCUGUUGCUGCUCUGUCUCACAGCGUCUCUUUUUCGCUGUGCGCAGAGAAGAAGGAUCUCGCGAAAAAGCGCAGCACCAACGAAAAGAAAAAAAGAAAGAGGUCUAAGUGAGAACACAGGAGCGCAUGUGCGGGGAAGCAAGCAAGAAACACCACAAAGACUGAGCGGCGCGAUGGCCCUGAGCAACAUGCCUUGGGACCUUUUUGUUGCACUGGUCAGUCGAGAGCAAGUGUGGGGUCGGGGGUCGGACGCGGUGCAGCCUGCUGUCGCAUAGGGGCGUAGCUCGACACGUCGUUCUCAUCAAUGCCCGCUCUCCGUUGCCGUCGCUUCCUCUUCCUGACAUCCUCUAUGUAGCUCCUUCAUCCGGUUGUCAAGUUCCAAGCACCGCCACGGCUGCAUGCUCGUCCUGGACUAGUGAAGAAUAAAGGUAUCACCACUUUGU
rnacentral:misc_RNA from 1 species